GAAAGACAAGAAAAGAGAAGAAAACCAGGUAGAGGAGAUUACAAACCAUACGGUAGCAGUGUUGGUCUUAUUCUCUCUCCAAAUAGUGAUUAUAAUUCAUGGAGGAGCAUCAGGUGGCAACCAUAGUAAAAGGGUCAGACAGCUGCAAGGACCUUAUUCUUGAUCAUAAUCUGUAUGAGCAUGUUGUGAAGGGGGAAUCGAAGAGUAUCACUGAAUCUGCUUUGCAAGCUCAUCUUCAUUAUCAUAACCAUCAUCCCAGUGAAUCAUCAGCCCCUCAUCAUCGAAAGGACACAAUCCUUCAUUUUGCAGUAAAAGUUGGACGAAUGGAUUGUAUAAAACAGAUCCUGGAGCUACGCCCUUCACUAUUAGCAUGUCAGAACUCAAAGGGAGACACUGCACUACAUAUUGCUGCAAGAAAUGGGAGAGAUGACGUAGUAAAACUCUUUAUUAAUCCACCAAAUAAGCAGAUCAGAUCAACCAGUACCUCCAAUCCUGAUGAUGAUAUUGAAAGUAGAGGAGAGGUUCAAUGUUAUGAAGCAACUGAUCAUGUUGUUAGAAUGGAAAAUGAUAAGAAAGAUACGGCACUGCAUGAAGCUGUGAGAAACCAUCGGCUUUUCGAUGGUAAAAGGUUAAAAAACUAUCUGGAUGUGCUGAAGUUACUGACUGAAGCCGACCCUAAGUUUGAAUGUUUUCCCAAUACCGCGGGUGAAACACCACUAUACAUGGCUGCUGAGGAAGGAUUGUAUGACUUUGCGUUACAGAUCUUGAAAGCUUGUCCCUCCUCCGCAUGUGGUGGCCCCUACGGUAGGACAGCUUUGCAUGCUGCUAUAUUUGGUCGCCAUGAACGUAUCAUAAGAAUAUUACUGGAGAAAAUGCAGAAGGACAAAACACGAGAUAUGAUCAGAAAAGCAGACAAUGAUGAGCGGACAGCACUCCAUUUUGCUGCAUUAUGGGCUUCUCCGGGCAUUGCUAAGAUGUUAAUAAAGAAAGAGAUAUCUGUAGCUUAUAAAAAGGAUAAGGGUGGGAUCUUACCAGUUCACCUCGCAGCCGAAAGAGACGAGCUAAGAAUAUUUAACUUGUUCUUCGAUCAUUGCCCAGAUUGCUUUGAACAUGUUGACCACAAUGGCUGGAAUGCUCUCCAUUUUGCAGCUGGCUGCAGUUCAGGUGGUGCAAUCAGUAUACUACGUAGAGUUCUAAUUAGUGGUGACAAUGAGCUACUCAAGGGAAUGGCUAAUGAGGGAGACAAUGAGGGAAACACGCCUUUACAUGUUGCUGUCAAGUCUGGGAAUAUUAUGUCAGUGGACGUUUUCUUAAGAUCCAGCGUUGUGGAUAAAUUGGCUAUCAACAACGAUUGCUUCACGCCACUCGAUCUCAUUGAAUUGGACACCAACAAAGAUCCAACAUUCCAGGGUCUUUUCUGGGCCCCCUUGAAGAAACAUUGGAAGGGCCGAAGUACUCCAAAACUUAUGAGGAAACUUGUUUGUAAAGAAAACAAAAAUCCUGACGCUGAAAAAAUCAAAGGAAAAAAAGAAUCUGAAGAAACUGAAUUCGACAAACAAAGAGAUGAAACACAUCUACUGGUAGCAACUUUGGUAGCCACAGUCACCUUCGCGGCUGGUUUCACAAUGCCUGGGGGUUACAACAACGAUGGUAGUGGCACUGCAACUUUAACCACAAAUGCUGCUUUCCAAGGGUUUGUUAUAUUAAACACUCUAUCUAUGGCAUCGGCCGUUGCUGCUAUUUUUUCACACUUCUGGUCAAAACUGUAUCCACAAUUUGAGGGUUUUGUUGUUUUUCCUACAAUGAGAGCUGGACUCGUAAUGUUCGCUUGCCUAGAAAUGGUAGGAGCUUUCAUGGCAGGGACGUACGUGGUGUUACGAAGUUCCCAUAUUCUGGCUGUGUCUGUUUGUUACAUCUGCGGCAUCUUCUACUUUUGUGUCGCCAUUUGUUUACUCUUGCCACACACAGUGCAUGCUGGGCUGAUUAUUAUCCGUGGGCUAGUUUCUCUCAGUGAUUGGAUGGACAGGAUGUGAAAAAAAUUGGAAAAACUCCUUGCGAAAACAGCAUCUGAGGUCGAUAAAAAAGAAGAAAAGAAAUGAGUGAGUUUUGCAAGGUAUGUAGGUUGUCAUAAAAUCAUCGUUGCUUACCUUGGUUGUUCAUGAUGAAAUCUACUGGCCUGAAGACUGAGAGAAAUCAAGCAGCUAGCUUUGUGUGGGAGUCACCUCAUAAUUAAUAAUUUCUGCUAUUUCCAUUAGUAUAGCUCUUUAUUGGUAAAUUAUUAAACUCUUGUAUGUUGCUGAUUGUGUGUAUUUUGCUUAGUACUUUGACAAUAUUCUAAUUAAAGAUAUGUAUCAGCUAGCAAUGGAUGCCAUGCUUAUUUAUA